rnacentral:hammerhead_ribozyme from 1 species
AUUGAACCGACGAGUCCGAAAUAGGAUGAAAUGCGCGUCCUGGAU